rnacentral:rRNA from 1 species
CAUCGCCUCCUGAUUAAAUAUAAGAGGUCCAGCCUGCCCAGUGAUAAUAUUUAACGGCCGCGGUAUACUGACCGUGCGAAGGUAGCAUAAUCACUUGUUCUUUAAAUAGGGACUCGUAUCAACGGCAUCACGAGGGCUAUACUGUCUCCCCUCUCCAAUCAGUGAAACUGAUCCCCCCGUGAAGAAGCGGGGAUUUAACUAUAAGACGAGAAGACCCCAUGGAGCUUUAAACUCAACAUGUACCUGUAUAACUAUUUAUCAAUUUAACCUCAAGGCCUGCAUGUUAGCUUUCGGCUGGGGGGGCCACGGAGUAAAAUCAAACCUCCACAACAAACGGGCAAAUACCCUUAUCUACGACUGACAAAUCCAAGAAUCACCAAAGUGAUGUUUAAUGAUCCGACAACUCGAUUAAUGAACCAAGUUACCCUGGGGAUAACAGCGCAAUCCGCUUCAAGAGCCCAUAUCGACAAGCGGGUUUACGACCUCGAUGUUGGAUCAGGGUAUCCUAGUGGUGCAACCGCUACUAAUGG